rnacentral:rRNA from 1 species
AGCAGCCGCGGUAAUUCCAGCUCCAAUAGCGUAUAUUAAAGUUGUUGCAGUUAAAAAGCUCGUAGUUGAAUUUCGGGGUUAGUAGGUUGGUCAUGCCUCUGGUAUGUACUGGUCUCACUGAUUCCUCCUUCCUGAUGAGCCGUAAUGCCAUUAAUUUGGUGUUGCGGGGGAUUUGGACUGUUACUUUGAAAAAAUUAGAGUGUUUAAAGCAAGCUAACGCUUGAAUACAUUAGCAUGGAAUAAUGAAAUAGGACGUUCGAUCCUAUUUUGUUGGUUUCUAGGAUUGACGUAAUGAUUAAUAGGGAUAGUUGGGGGCAUUAGUAUUCAAUUGUCAGAGGUGAAAUUCUUGGAUUUAUUGAAGACUAACUACUGCGAAAGCAUUUGCCAAGGAUGUUUUCAUUAAUCAAGAACGAAAGUUAGGGGAUCGAAGACGAUCAGAUACCGUCGUAGUCUUAACCAUAAACUAUGCCGACUAGGGAUCGGAUGAUGUUAAUUUUUAAUGACUCAUUCGGCGCCU